ensembl:misc_RNA Metazoa_SRP Metazoan signal recognition particle RNA
GCUGGGCACGGUGGCGCGUGCCUGUAAUCCCAGCUACUCAGGAGGCUGAGGCAGGAGAAUUGCCUGAACCCAGGAGGCUUAGGUUGCGGUGAGCCGAGAUCGCGCCAUUGCACUCCAGCCUGGGUAACAAGAGCGAAACUCCGUCUCAA